rnacentral:RNase_P_RNA from 1 species
GAAGUUGGUCGGAUGGUCGCUGGAGAUUAAUUUUUCAGAGGAAAGUCCGGGCUCCAUAGAACAAAGUGCUAGCUAACAGCUAGGUAUGGUGACAUAACGGAAAGUGCUGCAGAGAUUUAGACCGCUUAUUUUUAAUAGGUAAGGGUGAGAAGGUGCGGUAAGAGCGCACCGCGCAUUUGGCGACAAAUGUGGCAAGGUAAACCCCACUUGGAGCAAGCUCAAAUAAGCCAAUGAUGAUGUUGCUCGCGGAGUUGGCGGGUAGAGUGCUAAAGCGUUUUGGUAACAAAAUACGUAGAUGAAUGACCAUCUAUUACAGAACCCGGCUUAUAGACCAACUUUUUUU